AAAGCUCUCUGAAAGCUCAGAAAACAGAAAACACAUCUUGGUGACCUAGAAGUAUAGUCAUCUUCUUUCACCACCAGAUGGUGCUUUAUGUAUAGAAUGGAGGACAAGGAUCCUGAGGACAUUCCCAAACACUUGCAUAUUUAGGAAGCUCUUUUACUUAACAGUGAUUCAAGAAAUAUUGGGGAAAUGCAAGCCCAGAUGAGGGACGCCUAACCUAGCUAUACAGAUAGGCAGGGGAGGGCGUCCUUAACCACAGUUGAGGCUUGCACCCAAGGACAGGAUAGAGAUUGGGAGGGGAAUUCCAAUUUAAGAAAGAACCACCAGAAGUAGAGAGGCUUAAGAAAGCACAUUGCCUUCUAGGAAUCACAGGUUGUAGGCUGGGAAUGGACAGUAUUUCAGGUGGAGGAAAUAGAAUGAACAAAGGUGUGAAAAAUGUACAAACAGAUUUGGAUUUAACUAUGGUUAUUCAAUUGUUUAGCUUAUUAUUGGGAUUGUCUCAAUUCUGCAUCAUAUGACCUGACCUUGGAAAAGCGGGCCAUCUGUUUAGGGUAACAACUAUGAUUCUAUCCCUCAGAAUACUCAGUUUUCCUUAGCCAGUCCUUGCUCUUUAGCUUCCCCAUUUUCUUGUCCUUUUCUGUGCUAGAGGUGUAUUGAAACUGAUGCAUUGCAAAACUGGUAUUACAUUAAAUACACUGAACCUCAGAUGCUUAUGGAACACUUACACUAUUUAUACAGAAGAAUAAGCAAAAGUGUCCAGGCACGGGGGCUCAUGCCUGUAAUCUCAGCGCUUUGGGAGGCCGAGGCGGGUGGAUCAUGUGAGGUCAGGAGUCUGAGACCAACCUGGCCAACAUGGUGAAACCCAGUCUCUACUAAAAAUACAAAAAUUAGCAGGCUGUGAUGGCAGGUGCCUGUAAUCUCAGCUACUCGGGAGGCUGAGGCAGGGG
rnacentral:lncRNA from 10 species